UUUAUUUUUAAUUGAAUAUUUGUUAAAAAUGGAUAAAUUUGAAAUAAUGACACUUAGAAAUAAUUUGAAAUAAAAAAAUAGAAAAAUAUUUGUUAAAAAUGGAAAAAUUAAAAUACUAUUAUUUUAAAAUAAUUUUAAAGUUUUUUGGGUACAUGACUGAUUGAUUUUUAAUUUAUAUAUUAAAUAAAUUCAUAUAUAAUUGUAAAAGAUACGAUAGUAUUAAUUUUAAAAUAUUUAAUUAAUUAUCAUUAUAGUUUAGGGUUUAAUAUAUAUGGUUUAGGGUAUAUGGUUAAUUUAGGAUUUAAGGCCGGUUUAGGAUUUACAGUUUUAAGGUUUAUAGAUUAUGGAAUUAG
rnacentral:lncRNA from 1 species